AUUAAUUUUGCGGAUGGUCGCCCAAUCCUUUCGUCGUUUCGGAGCAAUGUGAGGUGCAAGUAAGCGCUUGGCACCCGACCGACCGGCAUAUUUUGCUACUAAGACCGACCGGGUAAAUCUGGCCAUUCUGAAACUGCCCGUCCCUUUUUUGAAAAUACUUCUACGUCUGACAUUAAAUUGUGUCGCAGAUUGCUUAAAUAUUUUGUAAAUUGUUCGGUUGGAAUUUAUGGUAAAGCUUUCAUAACAUACAAUGUUCAAUAGUUUAGUACAUUUGCCGGAUGAUUACGAGAGAUGUAUAGUUCUGCGUUUCCAUUCGAAAGUUAUCUUUGUUUAAUGAAAAGUUUUGUUCGUUCAGGGAAUAAGCCAUUGCAGCAAGUUUUGCUUUAUCAUGAUGUAUACCAUGAAAAUAACACAUCACAGUUUAAAGAAAUGUUCUGUAUUUAAACCAUGUGAAAAUGGAGUUGUGUUUAAUGGUUUUGAUGGGUUAACAACAUUGCAUUUUAAAAAAUGUGUUUUAUUUUCAAAUGCUGUAAUCAAAGUUAAUUCCCCAGCCAACAAUACAUCAUACAAUAUAGCUAAUGUUUGUGAUAUUGUAAAAGUAAGUAAUGUGAUUAAAGUUUUAUAUGCAAAAUGAGGAUUUAUUUUUUGUAAAAGUAAGUAAUGUGAUAUACUUAGUGGUAAAGUUUUAUAUGCAAAAUGAUGAUUUAUUUUAUUCACCUAUUCACUCAAAAAGUAUUGGUAUAUACUGUGUGAGUAAAUUGUCUCCAAGCUAUGGAAUUGUUCCAAAGUUUUAUAUGCAAAAUGAUGAUUUAUUUUAUUCACCUAUUCACUCAAAAAGUAUUGGUAUAUACUGUGUGAGUAAAUUGUCUCCAAGCUAUGGAAUUGUUCCCUUGAAUAAUAACAUAAGUAGUUUUGGUGAUUUUAAGUAGUUUUGGUGAUUUUAAUUUAAAGUUAAUGUUCAUUUUUAAUUUAUUUGUUUUUAUUGUGUUUUUAGAUACAUAUGAGACAUGUUAAAAAAAUGCAUAUGAUAGAAAAGAAUUGUCAUCAGAAUCAUCCUAGUCCGCGGGGAUUGAUUACACCACCAUCAUUGCGCAGAACUUAAAGUGUGAUUCUGCCCAGGUGAAGCAACUUUUGUUAUAUUAAAUAGGCUUUGCACCGUAUUUCGUCCCAAACUUACAGUUUUAAGACAGUAAGACACCACAAAGUCCACCUGCUAAAAACAAGAAACUGCUGAUUCCCUCUUCGUCAAAUAAAGAAAAAUCAAUGCUUUUAAUGCAAGUUGGUGAUAUCAGCAGAAGAAUUACUCGGUUGGAAGAUUUGGUUUCUAAGGUUCUAGAUAUGGUUUCUACGGUUCAAGAGACGUUGAACAAUAUGCAAAAAGAGAACAAUACCUCAAAAUCUAAGCUCGUGAACCUUCCUAGUCCAGCAUCUACUCACGAGGAAUUAGAUGCCACAUUGGGAAGCCUUACGAUAUGUUAUUUUUCAAUACAGUAAAUAUGGUAGCUAUUAAAGGCUUCUUUUCUUUAAAACCAGGGAUUUUUUUGGAAAAUGCUCUUUAUGCUUUAGUGCCAUUUUUUUAUUUGAACCACUACUGUCACACAGUUUACAUGUUGAAUAUUCAUGGGUUUCAUAACAUAACAAAAGACUCUUUAAGAUCAACAGUCAGAGAAUUCAUAAAAUCAUUUAUGAAAAAAUCUGUUGCUGAAACCUUUUCAUGGAGUGGCCUUGGUUAUGGAAGACGACAUAUUAAGCUGGCAUUCCGCGAUCAUAAAAUAUACACAGUGCUAACAAGUGUGCUGCAGAGCACGCGAUUCAAAACUUCCACUCAUGCGGAGAUAGGGGAUGCGACAGCCCGUAUUUUAAGUUUGGUUGGAGACUGGGAAGGUGGAAGGGCUGCCAGAACAAAAGGUAUCCUAAGCGAAGUGGGGGGAAAUAGAGAACCAGAAGGACAAUAAACAGUGACACUUUUAUGUUUCCCGCUGCCAUUUUUGUAAAUACAUUCGUUCGUUAUUAUCA